GAAAGCAUCAGUGACCGAUGAUGACCUUUACAGGAAGUAUAUAUGUCUCAUGAUUCGUCCAUAAGACAUGGCUUGUCUAAAUUACUGAAAUCAUGGAGAUAUCAUCCUGGCGAAAAGCAGCCUACCGCCUGGCUGAAGGCCUAAGCCCCAGUUAACUUCUAGUCUUGUUUUUGGUGUUUCAAGAAAGUUUCAACUGUACACGCAUAUGCCUCAUGCUCAGAAGAACUCAGAAUGUAUAUUACUACAUGGGGUCAAGGAGGUACAGUUGCAGGGAUUGCUGCUGCCCUCAAGAGGGUCCAGAGCAGUUGUAAAUAGUUGAGGUCAACAUCUUUCUAGUUCUCAACUUCAAAAUUCAUGUAGCAGUGGCGGAAACGAGACAAGAAUAGACCAUCCUAGUUCUGCAAGAAAGGCAAUUUUUUCUUCAAUUAGCAAGUUAAUCUUAACUCCAUAUACUAUUUAACGUCAGUCAAUUACUGAGUUUUCUUUCAGGAAUGAGAGUCAAAACUCAAGGUGACGAGAUGAAGGAUGUGUCGAAGGCAGGCAAUUCUCUGGCUAGGUUCACAGAUUGAUGAAAAUGGUUGUUCUUGGAGGUUAACAUGGAGGAAAUUUGACCAUGCAAUUAAUAGGCUUAAUUGCUGCAAUAUAUAGUUGAGACAAAAGGAAAUGUCGUAUCAUAUUCAUUGAUGAUGGGGACAAAACAUUUUUUUUUAACAAGCUUUAUGUGAAUCCGUGGCUCACAUUAAACCUAAACUAAUUUCUGAAAAGUUUUUAACUGACUAGGCUUCAAAUGCAGAAUGCCCACCAAUGAAGAGCUUCAUCCAAGAGGGGAACUCAGGAUCAUGAUGACGACAUUUCACAUACCAUAGUUCCCUAUGAUAAUGUAUUUCACGGUUU